GAGAGAGAGAGAGGAAGCUGUGGCAGGGCCGCAGGAGGGAAGAGGGAGAUUGAAACCCUAAACUGCCUCAUGUGGUGGUCAAUUGUGCUGCACUAUCCGUUCCUCAUACCUGUGAAAUGGACCCUACAGCUGCCAUGUCUAUUAACGUGCCCUCUGCUCUUGUAAAAUGGUUAUCAACCUUUAGAGAGAGCAAUACACUUCUGAUUCAUCUAUCAACUGAUCAAGGUACACUGGAACUGUUAUCUUUGUACAUCUGCAUGUAACAUGGAUAAAGGGGUUACAAGCCUUGAUUUGUGCAGAUUCAGGUGGUUUGGCUUGUGGUAAUUUGGGAUAGGGUUGACCAAAAUCAAAUUUAUGCGGAGACUAAUCUUUAGGUUUAUGACAGUGUCAAUGAUUCAGUUAACCAGAAAGAAUAGGUGCUACAUUAGGAGACUAAUCUAAAGCAGUCUUAAUGCUGGAAGUAACCUCUGUAGUUGCAGUAAAUGACUGUAAAGUGCUGAAAUACAUGCUGAAUCGGUGUAUUAAUCGCUGGAAACAAACUUUUGGAUAUUGUGCUCGCUUGGGAAGUAUGUGCCAGAUCCAUCUCAUCAGUUUAGAUGCAUCAUGCAUCAGUUUAGUUUAUUCAAUUUCACCCACCGAAUGCACGACCAGUAUAUACUACACACUAUAGAGUCUUAGAGUAUAUCUCUCCCAUUCGCGUGCAAGGCUUCAAAUCCAUAAGUAUUCUCUUAUUAUGCAAAGCCCUGGCUAGUGGUGCUUAGAUUUGUACUUAUGUUGUUAAAUACAGAGCCCUGGUGGGUGAUGCUUAGUUUUGUGCUGGUUUAGUAGAAAUUUAUAUUGAUUUGGCUU